rnacentral:lncRNA from 1 species
AAAAAUUCACCAGGAGGAAAGUGCUUACCUAUUUGAACAACUCUGUACGGGUCUAUACAGUAUUCUGAGGCUCUUCAAUAAGCACAUGGUGAUGACCCAGGUCAGUCGUGGCAAGGUUGGGGAAUUAGAACAAACCUCUGUGGCAAACACAGAUUACAGCUUGAAGUGAGCAUCACGGAUUUCUACAACAAACACUCUGACAAAUAUUUCCUAUGAUAAACAUCCACGUUCUCGAGGUGGGACAAUUAACCCAAACUUUCCAAAUUACAUAAAAACUUUUGCUCUAUCUAAUUGAGCUGAUAAAUUCAUUAUUUUAAAUGACAACAUACAAAAGAAGUAUAGAUUUUUACUUAAAACGUAUUGGAUAUGUGGAUAUCCUCUUGUCUUUCUCAGCAAAUGCUAAUAUCAAUUCAGUGCUUAACAAUGUCAGCAGCAACUGGGCCCUCUAAGUCUCCUGCUACUGAAGCUUGAGGGAUCAAGCCUCACCUGAAUUUUGACAAAGACUAAAUUCAAGAUGUCUGUGGCUUACAAUUUUCUUAUUCUACUCAAUGAGGUAGAGAAGUUCAUUUGGAAUUGAGCACUCCAUUAGACUGUUUCAGCUAAAUUUCAGGUGGCAUUUUCUAACAAUAAGAGCUGUUGAUGCUUUGGAAGGCAACAGGUUUGCUUCACUGGAAGUGAUGAUGGCCUUCCAGAAAGGGUGAGGCAAGGUUUUCUAAGAUCUCAUUCGACUAAAUGAUUCAGAAAGCGCCAGCCUGGGGAUUCCAGGUGCUUGUGACUCGGGGAUCUUUCUGCCAUCCCACCUCACCUGUUAGUCACCUUUUGAAAUUGGGAAUGAUUGAAAUGGAGUUUAGGGAAUGCUGUAAUAAUAUAUCUCUUGCUUGCCUAAUUCACAGAAAUGUGCACAGGCAAACUGUGAUGCUAAGUGGGGGCUUUGAUCCUUUGAUCCUGGGCCCUCCUCCCACCUGGAGCCAUACCUAUUUCUCCCUUGCCCGUUCUCCUGCCUCUGCGUUGAGAUGUGGUUCAGGCCUGAGACAGGAGGAACCUAUCAACGAAGGAGGAAAUCAACGAAGGAGGAAAUGUUCCCCAGCUCCUCAAACACGAGGCCUCCUUCUGCAACUCAACUUUCUGCUCCCAGGACAGGAUGAUCUGAAGACCCCACCGCUUCACCUCAUCUGAAGACUCAGUUAAAGAGGAGCGGGCAGGCAGCUGGGGGAUUCAUUCUCUGGGAGUGGGAGCAGAAGGGAGCCCCUUGUCUUGUUUUUGUUCCUUCCCAGUUGACCCACAGCUGGAGUGAGGGCUGGGCAAGUAGGUGCUGGGCAACUUCUGGGGAGACUCAGGACUCCUUAUUGGCCAUCACAAAGCCCCAGAGAAAAAGAUGCUUCCAAAAACUGCAAGAUAAGAGGAACAGGUAAAGGUCAUGGAAGGAUUAAGUAGAGCACAGCAGGCUGUUUCACGAACCCUCUGUGGCCUUCCCCAGGUGGGACAGCAUGGCAGCUGCUAACAUUGAGUCUAGGCCAUCAGGCAAGGUGAAUUAGGGACAGUACCAGUGGGGAAAGUACCUCGGUGUAGCCCAUGCACUGUCUGCCACCCACCCACGAAGUUCAACCUCUUCUAGUGCUCUUUUCUGUUUUCAGGGUCCUGGAGUGACUUGACCUCAUUUGGUCAUUCUAUGAUUAUCCCAUUUACAGGCAAGGAGCAUUUUUAUUGUUGUUAAUGCUCUUAACUCUAGCAAGCUAUGAAUUUAGGAUGUGUCUGUGCCCUUUGGCAAACUUACUGUCUCCUUAGGAAUUUUGUGCCCGAUGUCUUUUGCUCUUCCAGACUGCUGCCCAUGCUCCUCUGCCCUGCCGAGCACUCUGGGAGAUGGACCUGGUUGGACGCUAGGGCUCCACCCUGCAGCUUCCCGGUGGGCUCAGUAGAUGGGGAUCCUGGAGGAGACUGUAGAGCAGCUGCUGGCACAGUUGUCCUGGAGCUACCUGGGCCCAGAUGCCCCAGCUGUCUCCAUGCAGACCUUUCUAGCUACCUCUCCUCUCAUACUGGGCUCUCCGUGUAGAUGUGUUUUCUCCUGGGACCCUGAAGCACACAUCCAUUCUACUCAUGUAAAACAGACAGCUGCAUAAGAGAAAAUAAUAUAUUCACGUGUACAGCUGUUGGCAAGAAGUCUUCAGAGAUGGAGAAACCGAUGAAGAAUCUUGCUGCAAGAUCCCAACCUAUGCCAAGGGCCACUGCGAGGAGCCAGCAUGGACACGAAAUUCACACCCAGGGCAGCUCCUGUGUCUUCUGAGCCUUCUCAUGAGGGCUGCAAGCACAGUGGUCUGGUACUGCCUGCCUGUAAUGUUUUCUUUUAGAAUAGACCCUGUGUGUAGAUGACAGAGCAUUCUACAUCGUUGCUACGUGGGAUGCUGAGAACCAGGUGUUUUCUUCUCUGGGCAUAAGCUCCUGAGGCUCCCGAAAGUCUCAUCCUCGUGGGCCGAGGAUGCUGAAGGGAGCGGUGGGAUGGAAGGCGGGCCCAGAAAGCACACGGGCAGGCAGAAUCUGCUCUGCCCAGCUCCAGUGUCUUUUCUUUACUGUGCUCACUGUAUGUUUUCAGAAAGACAGGCCAAGAACAAAAGUGGGAGCCACCUAAAUGUCCAACCAUGAUGGUCCAUGAACACAGUGGAAUGUGCAAGAUAAUUGUGAAAAUUGUGUGGAAGUAUGGGGAACUGCUUAGGAUACACACUUAAGUGAAUAAAGCAGCAUGUUAAGUGUUAUAUAUGCCAUGGUUACAAUUCCAAAAAUAUGUAUGUACAUAGGCAAAUUCUGGAAGAAUAAAACCAGAAGAAAAUGUUGUAUUAAAGUGAUAGUAUCAUGGAUGUAUAUAGAUAGCUUUUGAUGUCUUUGUUGGAAGAGGCCAUCCUUGCACCCUGUCCCUUGCUGAGCAUGCCACAACUGCAAGGCCCUGAGUGUCCCUUAGCUGGCCCAUUUCUCAGGUCCAGCUGAUAACUCUGAGAGGUGAGGUAACAUUGCCCCCUCCCCACGAUCCUCCAGGCAAACAGCAGGCUGGCUUCUGGCUUGCUGUAAGCACAGUGCCUUCUCCAAGCUCCACGCUUCACACUGCACAGACAGCAUUCAUCUAAGCCUGCUGUGUCACCUGUGAGGGAACUGGGAAUGAGGGGAACUGACCCAGAAGUGCUGCUGGACAUGCUGCUAGUUGUGUAGCAAGUAACGGUGUCCAUGGUCCCUGACCCAGCAGUCUCCUGGCUUCUGCCAACAUCCAGAAAACAGUAACAGGUUGACUGAAUAGCUUCUAAGAAGGAUAAAAUCAAAUCCCAGAUGACAGUCUUAAUAAGGUUGCGAUACCAAUUUGAAAUUACAGUUGACUCUUAAACCCCGGUUUGAACUGUGAGGGUCCACUUAGAGAUGGAUUUUUUUUUUUUUUCAAAAAAUACAGUCCGUGGGUUUUGUAUCCACAACCAAACACAGAUAGAAAAUAUAGUAUUCUCAGGAUUUAAAUCUGCCCGUAUGGAAGCCUGGCUUUUCAUAACCUUGGGUCCCCAGGACUCACUGUGGGACUUGAGUAUGUGCAGAUUUUCAUGUCUUACCCACGGCCCUGGAAGCAAUUUCCUAGAUUCCCAGGGAUGACUGUAUUUGCCUAAUGUUUCUUUCCCAGCAGACUCAUGUCUGUCUUGUGCACUGCUGUGUUCCUGGCACCAUGGGGGAGCCUGGUACAGAGCAAGUUUCCUCAGAUGGCCCUUUGUGGAUGGACUACAGGAGCAGAGACGUGCAAGAAGCAAGUUUCAGAAGGAAUUCAAACCAAAACGUAGAGUUUGAAGGCAACAGUGACCUUUGCAAUCAGACCUCCCUGUAAUUCAGUAACAAAGCCACCACCAUGCAUCAAGCACCCACAGGCCACGCCUGUCUUCUGGAUGAUUUUCAGGGCAUCGUAUUUCAAUGUUCUUCUGUCCAUUUCCAGGCACAAAGUGCUUUCACUCACAUUCAGUCCUUGCUGCAACUGCAAGCCACUGAAGACAGAGUACAAAGGGGUUCACCACCUUGUCCACGGUUGCCCUGCUUCUAACUGGUCAUGUUGGAAUAAAAACAAGCAACUGUCAUCCAGGAUAUUAACCACGCAGGCUGUGGUGUUGCAAAGCAGGGGAGCACGGAGCAGGAAGCAUACCACCCUGCUGAGAUCAGCUCACUCACAAGUGGCAGGGCUAGGGCUGCAGCGCAGCUCACUUACGGGCACUGUGUGGGCCUGAAAGCAAAGGCCACAUCCAAAGGUCAUAGUGGCCCCCAAAACAGCUUCCUGACCUGCUUCUGUGGUCCCAGACCUCUUGCUGCUGAGGUACCUUAGCUUUCCAAUUGCUCUUGCCAAUUCUGCCUGCCCAGUACUGCUAAAAGGCCGCUUCCCUCUGUCCCAUGGCCUCAAACACACUUCAGAGAGAAUUUCUGGGCACUUGCAGAAGGCUGGUCACUACAGCACGAAAGAAGUCAAAGUUAUCGUGUUAGUGCUCCCAAAUCUGAGGCACAGUUUGGAGAUGGGGGCUCUGAGUCAGGGGGCAGGCUGGGGACUGUUCUGGUGCCUGUGACUAUGGGACUGAGCCAGUCACAGCCCCUCUCAUUUUCACCAGUGAAGGACAUAAUGUAUACAGUGGUCCAUUUCCAAGACAAAGUGCCUUAAAUUGGCUUAGGUCAGCAAACUACAGAAGAAACAGGAUAUUCGAGGCCCCUGCUUGGAUAGCUGAUGCCUGCUUGUAGGCCUCCCCCUUUCCCCGCUUACCCCCCAUUAGUUGCCUUCACCAGAACCAAAGAAGUUUAGUCUAAAAUGAAAGCUUACUACUAGCCUGCAAAAUAGCUCCCUUUGUCUGUUCUUAUCAGCCAGCCCAGCUACUUAGGUCGUAAGUGAAAUACUUGAAGAGCCCCUGAGCUGACUAGGAUUGCAGUGCAUUGCGGGCUGUGACAAAAUGCAGCAAGACAACCCUAAAAACAAACAAACAAACACACAAAAACACCUAACGCCCCUGCCUAACAGUCAAUAGGUGACGUCCAGGAAGGCUGUGACCCCAUAGUACUCAGCCUGUAGGAAACUGGGGGAGGAGCCGGUGCACUAGCGGACAAAUUGCUUGUUGAAACUGCUGGGUGUGCCUGUCCGUCAGACACCCGAUUUUGCAAGACUGACUUUUUAUUAAAAAUCUCACUUUCGCUGUUCU